rnacentral:rRNA from 1 species
UAAUACGGGAGUGGCAAGCGUUAUCCGGAAUUAUUGGGCGUAAAGCGUCCCGUAGGCGGCCUUGUAAGUCUGUCGUUAAAGCGUGGAGCUUAACUCCAUUUGAGCGAUGGAAACUGUAAGACUAGAGUGUGGUAGGGGCAGAGGGAAUUCCCGGUGUAGCGGUGAAAUGCGUAGAUAUCGGGAAGAACACCAGUGGCGAAGGCGCUCUGCUGGGCCAUAACUGACGCUCAUGGACGAAAGCCAGGGGGGCGAAAGGGAUUAGAUACCCCUGUAGUCCUGGCCGUAAACGAUGAACACUAGGUGUCGGGGAAUCGACCCCCUCGGUGUCGUAGCCAACGCGUUAAGUGUUCCGCCUGGGGAGUACGCACGCAAGUGUGAAACUCAAAGGAAUUGACGGGGGCCCGCACAAGCGGUGGAGUAUGUGGUUUAAUUCGAUGCAACGCGAAGAACCUUACCAGGUUUGACAUCCUGCGAAUCUCUUGGAAACGAGAGAGUGCCUUCGGGAACGCAGUGACAGGUGGUGCAU